GACGAACGCUGGCGGCAUGCCUAACACAUGCAAGUCGAACGAGAAGUUCGGGUCUAGUGGCGCACGGCUGGGUAACGAGUGGGAACCUGCCCUUAAGUUCGGAACAACUGACCGAAGGGGGUGCUAAUGAAGGAUAAUGUCAUAGGACAAAGAUUUAUCGGCUUUGGAUGGGGCCGUGUUAGAUUUGGUGGUUGGUAGGGUAAAAGCCUGCCAAGGCGACGAUGCAUAGCUGGUUGGGUGAGAGGAUCAGUCACGCUUGGACUGAGGCACGGCCCAGACUCCUACGGAGCGCAGCAGAAUGGAAUAUUAGGCGAUGGACGAAAACCUGGCCCAGCAAUGCCGCGGAAGUGGUGCAUGCCUUUGUGUUCUAAAUCUCUUUUUCCCGGGGUGUUAGUGACAGUACCGGGUAAAUAAGCACCGGCUAACUCCGUG
rnacentral:rRNA from 1 species